AAUAAGUGUAGUUUUACACCGUUUAUGUCGAACGUUUAUCCGUCCGUCUUAUUUAAAAUUUUUUUAUGAUUAGUAUUUUUGUUAUUAUUAGAUGAUAAAACAUGAAUAGUACUUUAUAUAUGACUAUUUUUUUCCAUAUUUUUUUCAAAUAAGAUGGACGAUCAAAUGUUGUAUAUGUAAACCUACAGCUGUACUUAUU
rfam:Oryza meridionalis cultivar OR44 (W2112) chromosome 7, whole genome shotgun sequence.